rnacentral:rRNA from 1 species
AGUGAACGCUGGCGGUAGGCCUAACACAUGCAAGUCGAACGGCAGCACAGUAAGAGCUUGCUCUUACGGGUGGCGAGUGGCGGACGGGUGAGGAAUACAUCGGACUCUACUUUUUCGUGGGGGAUAACGUAGGGAAACUUACGCUAAUACCGCAUACGACCUACGGGUGAAAGCAGGGGAUCUUCGGACCUUGCGCGAUUGAAUGAGCCGAUGUCGGAUUAGCUAGUUGGCGGGGUAAAGGCCCACCAAGGCGACGAUCCGUAGCUGGUCUGAGAGGAUGAUAAGCCACACUGGAACUGAGACACGGUCCAGACUCCUACGGGAGGCAGCAGUGGGGAAUAUUGGACAAUGGGCGCAAGCCUGAUCCAGCCAUACCGCGUGGGUGAAGAAGGCCUUCGGGUUGUAAAGCCCUUUUGUUGGGAAAGAAAAGCAGCAGGUUAAUACCCCGCUGUUCUGACGGUACCAAAAGAAUAAGCACCGGCUAACUUCGUG